AGUUUUACUGUUUCAGUUGAACAACAAUCGUAAAAAGUUCUAAAAAUGAAAUUCCUUAACGCAGCUGUCGCCAUGUUUGUUCUGAUUGCCGUUGCCGUUGCUGAACCGAGAAUAAAAAUUGGAUUCAGAUAUAAGUAAAAUAUACAACAACUUUGCGAUCGUCCCGAGGUCGAAACAGUUUUUCAGGACUUUAGUUAAAACCACCAAUGGAUGUUGCCUCGUGAAGAAUUGUGUAACGUGAAGAGUAAUUAUUCAAUAAAUUGAAUCAAACAUGAAAAAUUGUUUCAAAGUUUCUGUUAAAUAAAUUCAUGGAUUGAUAGAAAAA